UACGAAGGGGGCGAGCGUUGUUCGGAUUUACUGGGCGUAAAGGGCGCGCAGGCGGCAGACCAAGUCAGGCGUGAAAGCCCCGGGCUUAACCGUGGGAGGCUGGCGUCUGGGACUGGUAUGCUAGAGUUCGGGAGAGGAGAGUGGAAUUCCCAGUGUAGAGGUGAAAUUCGUAGAUAUUGGGAAGAACACCGGUGGCGAAGGCGGCUCUCUGGACCGAGACUGACGCGUGAG
rnacentral:rRNA from 1 species